CCAAUCGAACUCGGAGAUAGCUGGUUCUCCCCGAAAUAGCUUUAGGGCUAGCGUUGUGUUAGUUUACCGGAGGUAGAGCACUGAAUUGGCUAAGGGGCGAUGAGCUUACUGAACCUUAUCAAACUUCGAAUGCCGGAUAAAUGGUGCACAGCAGUCAGACAGUGUGAGAUAAGUUUCAUUGUCAAGAGGGAAACAGCCCAGACCCACAGCUAAGGUCCCAAAUAUAUGCUAAGUGGAAAACGAUGUGGAGUUGCGAAAACAACCAGGAUGUUGGCUUAGAAGCAGCCACUCAUUAAAAGAGUGCGUAAUAGCUCACUGGUCGAGUGACCCUGCGCGGAAAAUAUAACGGGGCUAAGCGUCCAACCGAAGCUUGGGAUGUCUAAGGACAUGGUAGGGGAGCGUCGUGUAUAGGGAGAAGCAUGAGCGAGAGCACAUGUGGACAGUACACGAGUGAGAAUGCCGGAAUGAGUAGCGAGAAUUAUGUGGGAAUCAUAAUGGCCGAAAAUCUAAGGUUUCUUGGGGAAGGUUCGUCCGCCCAAGGUAAGCCGGGAGCUAAGGCGAGGCCGAAAGGCGUAGUCGAUGCACAUACGGUUGAAAUUCCGUAGCCGCCGAAAUUGUUAAGCACAGGGACACAUAGAGAUAUCCGAACCCGGGCGUUGGUUGACCCGGGCGCAAGGGACCGAACAUCAGUAGGGAAGUCGGAGAUGCUCUGUGGCGAGAAAAGCUGUGUGUAUUGAUUAGGCGCCCGUACCGCAAACCGACACAGGUAGAUGAGGAGAGAAUCCUAAGGCCAACGGGAGAAGGGUUGUUAAGGAACUCGGCAAAUUGACCCCGUAACUUCGGGAUAAGGGGAGCCUCCUACGGGAGGCCGCAGUGAAUAGGCCCAAGCAACUGUUUACCAAAAACACAGGUCUCUGCUAAAUCGAAAGAUGACGUAUAGGGGCUGACGCCUGCCCGGUGCCGGAAGGUUAAGAGGAGAGCUUAGCGCAAGCGAAGGUUCGAAUUGAAGCCCCGGUAAACGGCGGCCGUAACUAUAACGGUCCUAAGGUAGCGAAAUUCCUUGUCAGGUAAGUUCUGACCCGCACGAAUGGCGUAAUGAUUUGGGCACUGUCUCAACAGCCCGCCCGGCGAAAUUGUAGUACUGGUGAAGAUGCCAGUUACCCGCAACUAGACGGAAAGACCCCAUGGAGCUUUACUGUAGCCUAAUACUGAAGAUCGGUAAUGCAUGUACAGGAUAGGUGGGAGCCAGCGAAACCCGGGCGUCAGCUCGGAUGGAGGCAACCUUGGAAUACCACCCUUGUAUUGCUGGUUUUCUAACCUGCGGCCAUGAAUCUGGUCGGGGGACACUGUUAGGUGGGCAGUUUGACUGGGGCGGUCGCCUCCAAAAGCGUAACGGAGGCGCUCAAAGGUUGGCUCAGCACGGACGGAAAUCGUGCAUAGAGUGCAAACGCAUAAGCCAACUUGACUGCGAGACCGACGGGUCGAGCAGGUACGAAAGUAGGAGUUAGUGAUCCGGUGGUAUGUGAGUGGAAAUGCCAUCGCUCAACGGAUAAAAGCUACCCUGGGGAUAACAGGCUGAUCUCCCCCAAGCGUCCACAGCGACGGGGAGGUUUGGCACCUCGAUGUCGGCUCGUCACAUCCUGGGGCUGUAUUCGGUCCCAAGGGUUCGGCUGUUCGCCGAUUAAAGUGGCACGCGAGCUGGGUUCAGAACGUCGUGAGACAGUUCGGUCCCUAUCUGUUGCGGGCGCAGGAGAUUUGAAGGGAGCUGUCCUUAGUACGAGAGGACCGGGAUGGACAGACCUCUGGUGCACCAGUUGUCGUGCCAACGGCACAGCUGGGUAGCUACGUCUGGACGAGAUAAACGCUGAAAGCAUCUAAGUGUGAAACUCCCCCUAAGAUAAGAUCUCCCAUCCAUUAGGAGUAAGGGACGACAGAGACUAUGUCGUUGAUAGGUCGGAAGUGUAAGUGUAGUAAUGCAUUGAGCUGACCGAUACUAAUAACCCGAGGGCUUGACCUA
rnacentral:rRNA from 1 species